UUUAGAUCGCAACUAAGUAGCUUUAUUCAUUGGUAAUUGUUAGCGGUUAAAGCAAUAAAAAAAAUACACGUUUGUGGUAUACGCUAUUUUUUUCUCAGUGAAUUUCCCAUUUUUCAAAAUCUGUUUUUUUUUAUUAUUAUUAGUUAGUUGAAGUAAAGUGCUUUGAACGCGUGCAGUUUUUCUAUCUGCUAGUGAAAGUGUUUUACUUUUGAGUAUUUUCG